rnacentral:rRNA from 1 species
CACGUAGGGGGCAAGCGUUGUCCGGAUUUAUUGGGCGUAAAGAGCUCGUAGGUGGUUCGGUAAGUCAGGUGUGAAACCUCCAGGCUCAACCUGGAGACGCCACUUGAUACUGCUGUGACUGGAGUCCGGUAGGGGAGCGUGGAAUUCCUGGUGUAGCGGUGAAAUGCGCAGAUAUCAGGAGGAACACCAGCGGCGAAGGCGGCGCUCUGGGCCGGUACUGACACUGAUGCGCGAAAGCCAGGGGAGCAAACGGG